rnacentral:snoRNA from 1 species
CCCCUCUCAGGGUCACACCUGGAGAGUUUCCAGUAGUCUACCAGUCUUGUCUCUGGGAGGGAGAGUCAAGCAGAAGCCUACCCAUUCCAUUCCUAGCUUGGACAGUGGCUAGUGAGUUGAAGGAAAUCUGCUACAAGU